UACGUAGGGUGCGAGCGUUUGUCCGGAAUUAUUGGGCGUAAAGGGCUCGUAGGCGGUUUGUCACGUCGGGAGUGAAAACUCAGGGCUUAACCCUGAGCCUGCUUCCGAUACGGGCAGACUAGAGGUAUGCAGGGGGAGAACGGAAUUCCUGGUGUAGCGGUGAAAAUGCGCAGAUAUCAGGAGGAACACCGGUGGCGAAGGCGGGUCUCUGGGCAGUAACUGACGCUGAGGAGCGAAAGCGUGGGGAGCGAACAGG
rnacentral:rRNA from 1 species